UGGCUUUCUGGUAAGAAUAAUAUAUUUUAGUGUAUUUUUAUAAUAAAGGGGGAAAGUCACACAGUCUUAAUAAAUGCCUAAAAGGUUAUAAUUCAACUCCUAUCCCUGAUAUAUGCUUAAAGGAAUAUGAAAUCAACAACAAAUUUAUGAAGCACUACAUACAUGCUUAAGGUUAGGAAUAAAAUUAAGGAGUCCAGUGAGGAAGUGUAACUUUGGGAAAGGAAAAAAACAAUCAUUUGCAGAUAAAUGUGAUUAUCCGGAAAAUGGUAAGAUUCUUACAAAACUUCAUCAAGAUACCCAAUUGUAAAAUAAACAUAUUAAGAGCAAAAGCUUUUAUAUAUUCCAGCAAUAAAUAAUUAGAAAUUGUUUUUAUUUAUAAUGCAUUUAAUAAUUUAAUAAAUAUGAAACAAACAUUAUAGAAAUGUUCAGAACCUAAAUGAGGGGCUGCCAAAUGUUUGCUGAGGAAUAUCAAAGAAGACUUAAUGAUAUACCAUGUUUCUGGAUGAAGAGACUUGAUUUUGUUGAGAUGUCAGAUCUCCCCAAAUUACUUCCUAUAUUUCAACAAAAAUUAAUUUCAGUCAGAAUUCUAAAAGAAUUCUUUUUAGAAAUUGAAAAAAAAAAUUCUAAAGUGUAUCUGGACUUCAAAUAACCAGGCAAUAUUAGAGAAAGAAGUUUUUGCAAAUAAUCAUAGCUAAUAUUUGUUAACUGUUUUAAGUACUGGACACUGAUCUACAUUUUUAAAUGCAUGAUUUAAUCCUUAUAAGCACUUUGAGAUGGGUCUUACAAUCAUUGCCAGUUUACAGAUUGGAAAAGAAACAGCCUCGGGGAGACCUGAGAGGCUGGCUAAACUAAGCCACUAUUACUUAUAUGACUGGAAGUAAUCUACACAAAGGGAGAUAAUGGGGACAAAGUGAAUACAAGAUUUUUACCCAUAUUAUACUUGUGGCUCAAGGCCGUGCAUUUUCCUUCUCUCCCAACAUCCAAAUUCUGUGGGAAUAAGAGAAGAAAUACUUCUAAAGUACAUAAAGUUAAAUAGAAAAUUUUUGUUUCCAGCAGUGUGGUAUGCUACACUUAUCCUCCAAGUGCAGUACUGCUAAGAAUGUUGAGGAUACACACACACACACACACACACACACACACACACACACCCCUGAGCAAAUGGCAAAGUAAAAAAAUUCCUUGGAGGCCCGAAAUGAUGAUAAGUAUUAAAUCAAAAGGGUAAUUAAGGACUGGAGCCCAGUGUUUCCCCUCAGGUACCUGCCAAUCACUAGUAGCCAGGGUAGGCAUAUGGGGCAGAAGGCAAAGACUUGAAACGAUCAAGAUGGUAAAUUGAACCAGUGAUCCCUGCAUAAAGUUAGGACUCCUGAAGGACAGUGUGUGUGAUAGAAUUAGGGAAAGCCCUACUCUGCAGAGGGAGAAAGUGGGAAUGCCUGUCUCAGCUUUGACUCUGGGAAGGAAAUCUCUCCUGGAAUUCCUAACUACCUGUCCACAUUUACAUGGACAUGGGACUUGAAUUUGUUGGCAGUCAAAAUAGUUAAGCAGAGAAUCUGGUUGAAAUGAGUCCCAGACUGGUUACCCUUAGGUGCCUGAUUGAAGAAGCAUCCCAGACCUUAGAAGUUUACUCAGAUAAGGUGCAGAGCAACAUGAGUUCACAGUGAACACACACACACAAAGCUAUAAGUGAGAGCAGAAAUUGACUCACAAUUGAGAUACCGAAUUACAACAUAAAGUACGUUCAAUAGGUUUAAAGAAACAAGGUCAUUAGAAAUAUAAUGAAGAAACAAAAAAUAGAAAAAACGGCUAGUAAGUUUUGAAAAGUAACUUCAUAGAGGUGAAAAUAUUGAGUUAGAAAUUCAAUGGAUAUGGUUUAGAAGAAAAUUGGUUAUAGAAAUUAUACAGAAUGCCUAUAAAGAAACAAAAAUCUAAAAGAUGUAAUAAAUGAAGGAAAAAGCAUAAGGAGAUCUAAUAUACAUGUUAAAUGGGUUCCAGAAGGAGGGAAUAGGGCAGAUAUAAUGUGUGAAAAAAUGAUAAGGAUUGAGAAUAAAUUAUUGAGAACUGAUGAAAAAUAUGAAUCCCUAGUUCAAGAACCCGAAUGAAUUAAUAGAAAGAUAAAACAAAGAUAUAAAAACAUCACAUAGAAUAUGAAAGAACAACAAAGACAGAGUAGAAACUUAAAAGCAGCCAGAGAUAAGACAGAUUAAUUUCAAAGCAGCAACAUAGAUCAAAAAUGACUUUCAACAACAACUGGUCCAUUAAAUGGUGGAAUAUUUUCAAUGUACUAAAGAACAAUGACUGUCAAAGUAGAAUUUUCCUACUCCUCAAAAUGUCUUUCAAGAACAGUGGCAAGAUAAAGACAUUUCAGAGAAACUAAAUAUUUACUACCAAUAAACUACAUUUAGGGGAAUCUCUAAAGGAUGUACUUUAGGAAGAAGCAAAACGCUCUCCGGAAGUUGAAGAGGUGAGAUAACACCAAAGAAAAUGGUAAAUGUGACUAUAGCGACUUAUAAAAUAGCCAUAUUUAAUUUGGUUAGAAAAGAACUAAAACCCAGGACAUGAACAGCAACUCAGGAAUGGGGUAACUAGAAUUAGAGUUAAAAUGUUCUUUUGUUUAAAAAAAUUUUUUUUUUAAUUUUUACUUAUUUUUGAGAGAGAGAGUGCAAGCAGUGGAGGGGCCGAGAGAGAGGGAGGGAGAAUCUGAAGCAGGCUCCAGGCUCCCAGCUGUCAGCACAGGGCCUGAUGCCAGGCUCGAACUCACGAACAGUGAGGUCAUGUCCAGAGCUGACGUAGAACGCUUAACUGACUGAGCCAUCCAGGUGCCCCAAAGUUAAAGUGUUUUAAGUUAUUAUGUUGCUUACCAAAGUAACUCAAACUUUUAUAUUAAACAUGAUGUUAAAAUUUCUAGAUAAACCACCAAAAGAUUAAAAACAAUAAUUUCUAUACUAAUAAAAGAGGUAGAGGACUCUACCGAUGAAGGCAUGAAAAAAGUAAGGGAAAAAAGGAAAUCUAUAUAAAAUAAGAUAGUAGAAGUUAAUCCAAUUACAUCAGUAAUCAUAAUCAAUAUAAAUGGAUUAAACUCACCAGUUGAGGCAAUGAUUAUUGGAGUGGAUUUUAAAAAUUCAGCUAUAAAUUGUUUUCAAGAGCCAUUCUAAAAACAUAAGGACACAGAAAGAGUGAAAAUAAAACAGUGGGAGAAAAAAGAUACACUGACAAGACAUAUCCAAAAAAAAAAAAAAAAAGAAAAGAAAAGAAAGGAAAAAGAAAGAAAAAGGGGAAAAAAAGUACAACUCUAAAAUACAAGUAGUGUGAAUAAUUUUUGAAAAUCAGAAAUAGGUCAUUAUUAUAAGGGGAGAUUUUCAUACAUCUCUUUCAGUAAUCAAUAAAUCAUGUCAUAAAAAGUACUAAGCAUAUAAAAGACUUGAACAAGACAAUAAACAAUAUAAGAGUAUAUGGAAUGUUGACUGAACAAAAUACACAUUCUUUAAAUGUGCACAGAACAUUUCCUACAAUUAACCAUGUAUUAGGCCAUAAAUCAAGUCUUAAGUUUCAAAGAACCAAUUUCAAAAUGAGCACAUUUUCUGACAAUUGCACAUUUUCUGACAAUUGCAAUUGUUAGAGGUCAGUAACAAAAAGAUAAUGUAAAUACUCAUACAUCGAGAGCAUUGACAUUGUUUUAAAUAACUGAAAGAUCAAAAAAUCAUACUGGAAAUUAGAAAAUACUUUAAAGGAUGAUAUGCUACUUGCCAGACCUUGUAUUAUGCAACUAACUGAAGUAAUUUUUCCACAGAAAUGUGGGGUUGAAUUAUCAGAAAGGAAGAAGCUGAAAAUAUGUGAACCAAACAUAUAGAGAAGAUGGAAUAAGAACAACAAAGAAUACUUGUUGGAGCACCAGAGCCACAAAGAGGUAGACACAAACAAGCCUGCCUCCUUCAACCCCACUGUGCCUGGACCAGCUCAUACCUCUACUUCUCAGCCUGCCACGAAAAUAGCCACUUGUUUCUUUGAGCCGUGGAGCUAACUGAUUUCUCACCAUCUAGGCUUCAGGUGAGGGGCUCCUCCAGAUCAUUGGCACUUGAGUUGCUUUUUGUCCAGGCGUGAAGCUGACACCUUGAGUGGCACAUGGAAAGGCACAGCCUAGUCUUGUUUCUAGAAGCAGCAGGUUGGCUGGAAAGUGCUUGAGGUGUAAAGGAGAUGACAAGUUUCCUUUUGGGUCCAGGUGGUGUGAUCCCAAGCAAUCGCAUUUCUGAGUCACAGUUUAUUUAUCUAGAAAAUAGAGGAUUGUGUAUGCAGUUAGGGAGAGGUUUGUGAUUGGAGGCCUUCUGAGGGCUGGCAGUGUUCAAUCUCAUGACAUGGGAGGAAGUUAUGCAGACAUUCACCUUAUGAUAAUGUAUUAUUAUACCUCACAUGGUGUGUUUACAUGGUGGGCACUUUUGUGUAUGUGUGUUAUAUUCACAUGAAAGAUUUUAUUUAAAUAAAGAAAAUGAGAGUAA